rnacentral:rRNA from 1 species
AACCUCUUUUAGUAGGGAAGAAGCGAAAGUGACGGUACCUGCAGAAAAAGCACCGGCUAACUACGUGCCAGCAGCCGCGGUAAUACGUAGGGUGCAAGCGUUGUCCGGAAUUAUUGGGCGUAAAGAGCUCGUAGGCGGUUUGUCGCGUCUGCUGUGAAAUCCCGAGGCUCAACCUCGGGCUUGCAGUGGGUACGGGCAGACUAGAGUGCGGUAGGGGAGAUUGGAAUUCCUGGUGUAGCGGUGGAAUGCGCAGAUAUCAAGAGGAACACCGAUGGCGAAGGCAGAUCUCUGGGCCGUAACUGACGCUGAGGAGCGAAAGCAUGGGGAGCGAACAGGAUUAGAUACCCUGGUAGUCCAUGCCGUAAACGUUGGGCGCUAGAUGUAGGGACCUUUCCACGGUUUCUGUGUCGUAGCUAACGCAUUAAGCGCCCCGCCUGGGGAGUACGGCCGCAAGGCUAAAACUCAGAGGAAUUGACGGGGGCCCGCACAAGCGGCGGAGCAUGCGGAUUAAUUCGAUGCAACGCGAAGAACCUUACCAAGGCUUGACAUACACCGGAAACGGCCAGAGAUGGUCGCC